UAGAGCCUUGAGCUUCACAACUUACAGAUACCUGUAACUGACGCUUACGCCCCAUGAUUGAUAGGGACUGUUGAAGGCAGUGGUGGAGCUACAAGAGAUAUCCUUCCCCUGCAACCAACUUUUGCAACCACUUCUCACUAUAACCAGCUAAUUAUAUAUAUAUAUAUAUAUAUACCCAUACAUACACAAGAAAUUAGAACGCCCAAUUAGACUUUGC
rnacentral:lncRNA from 1 species